rnacentral:rRNA from 1 species
UACGGAGGGUGCAAGCGUUAUCCGGAUUCACUGGGUUUAAAGGGUGCGUAGGUGGGUUUGUAAGUCAGUGGUGAAAUCUUCGGGCUUAACCCGGAAACUGCCAUUGAUACUAUUUAUCUUGAAUACCUUGGAGGUAAGCGGAAUAUGUCAUGUAGCGGUGAAAUGCUUAGAUAUGACAUAGAACACCAAUUGCGAAGGCAGCUUACUACACAGUUAUUGACACUGAGGCACGAAAGCGUGGGGAGCAAACAGG